rnacentral:rRNA from 11 species
CUUACUUGUGUAGGAUAGGUGGGAGACUGUGAAGCGGGCACGCCAGUGUCCGUGGAGUCAUCGUUGAAAUACCACUCUGGUCGUUCUGGAUGUCUAACCUCGGUCCGUGAUCCGGAUCAGGGACAGUGCCUGGUGGGUAGUUUAACUGGGGCGGUUGCCUCCUAAAAGGUAACGGAGGUGCCCAAAGGUUCCCUCAGCCUGGUUGGCAAUCAGGUGUCGAGUGUAA